CCAGGUAGUGUGGAGGAAAUGGAUUCAAACAAACUCGUUUGAAGAAUAUAAGCCAAGCACAGCCAUGGGAUCAAACGUAGAAAUGGAGUGCAAGUUCAUCUACUGUUAGUCACCAUUUUUGAGGAAACAGUGUAAGAAUUCUGACAAAGCUGUAGUUCAGCAUUUUGGCAAGUGCAACGAAAAGAACUGUGUAUAUGUAAGAGACACUUCAGUCUCAUGAGAAGCAGUCCUUGCAGGAUUUCCUGGACAGGAUCAAGAACCACUGGAAAUAUUCAGAGAUUUUACUGGAAAUCGCUUGAGAACAGACUGUCUGACAGGCUCUGUUUUGAGUCAACUUUGGAUUGAAACUGAACUUUAGCAGUUAUGGAAAACCUAUGGAUUAUAAUCCUAUGAGAAUAAGCUGGAAAAGGAUAAAAACUGGGAAGCUGUUUCCAAAAACCCAAGUUCCAGAAUAAUGAGGAAAUAAUGGCCAACAAUAUUCUUGUACAGUUUUCUCAACUUGCUAUGUAUGUACAAACACCAAAGGGGCAAGUGAUGUUGAGAUGGAGAAGUGUUUCCACAGAUCAUAUCCACUACUCAAGUGUGAGGCCUUCCUAAGCAGAUAAUUUGGUUUGUUGAACAAACUACAGUCGCCCUGUCCUUGGUGCAGCAACCUGGCAGUUCUCCAGCUGUGGCCUGCAGGGAUUAUUAGAUGUCCUCUGCAAGGACAAUUAUUUCAGUUGCCAAAGAGUUUGAGAGAUGCUUAAAUGUACACUGCAUGUUAUUAUGACCUUACUUUCAUGCAUAUGUAAUUGCAGUCGAUGUCCUCAGAAAGUUUUUCAGCUAAUAGCAGGUGAACAUGAACUCUGUGAUCCUGAAUUUGGGAGAGGUAUGCAGCAUCCUCUGUGUAGGUGUGGCCAAGUUUGGAAGCUGGAGACCCCUGGGUCUCAGGCAGAGACAGCUGGGACACCAGUCUGAUCCUGGAUCUGGUGCUGCUAGCAAACCUUGGUCAACCUAGGGUGCAACCACCCCUGCUGCCCCUUCCUGGGUGCACUGGUGGGAGCUACUGUAGGUACAGACUGGGAGAGGGGCUUAGAUGCAUGUCUCUGGUCUGCAGCAUGAUACUUUGAUCAUACACAACUUUGGCUGGUUGAGUACAAAUCCUAAGUGAUUUAGAAUAUUACUGACAGCAUCUGGAAGGGAUAGUCACUGUGUUGCAGCAAUGACUUCAACAGCUAAGGAUGAAAAGUAACCUCGCUAUGGAGUGCUCUCCAUCACAGAACAUAUUAUUUCUAGCACAGCAGCAUGCCAUUUCUUUAGCACAGUUUUGUGUUGCUAACUUAAACUGUCAAAUGUUAAAGUGUGUCAAAUGUUUCAUUAAUUAUUUUAAUGUCAACCAUAAAAUCACUUUCACAGGUGUGACUCUCAGAAAAAAAGACAUCUCUGGGGAUGGAGUUAGCCAUGUCUAACUUCUGUGUGAAGGCAGUUCUUAAACUUGUUUGGACCUUUGGCUUUCAGUGCCUACAGAUUUGGAACAGAGAGCAACUCCUGGAUUAUGGGCUUCCAUGGUCUUAAUGGCAUCAUCACUGCAAUUUAAGAAGGCAGCUUUUUUUUGCAUCUUUCUUCUAUCCAAAGUGCCAUAUCUUAAAAGGUAAGGGAAAAAAAAAAAAAAAAAAAAAAAAAGAAAAUGGAAAAUGGAAAGGAUGACAAAGAAGAACAGCUGUGAGACACGAGAAAGAGGCAUGAAAAGAAAUGAAGAAAAGCAAGGCAGAUAGGGAAGUGCAUAUAUAGAAGAAAAGACAGAAAGAAAUGAGAGAAGAAAGCUUCACAAAGAUGCUGAGAGAAACUAAAGUGAGAAUAAACAAAGUGAUUCAGAGAAGAAGAAAGUGGGAAAAAGAGUAAAUUGGAGCAGUCACUGAAAAGUGACAUAAGAGAGCCACCUGAGCUCUAGCAGGACAGUGAUGAAGAGAUCCAACCUGUUAGUGGUAGUCAGCAGUAUACAUCAGGCGUGGUGGCAGCAUCCUAUCUUCUUCCAGGCACAUCCUUGGCCCUCAAUCCUUCCUUCCUAAACUGACAGCUGAAAAAAUAAGAGGGUGCUCUCUGAAGUAAAGGGAUAAGUUAGUCCCUGCCGAGUUCAUUUCCUGUUUGUAAAUACCAUUCGUCACAGCAGGAAAGGUCUUCUGUCACCGACAGGGUGAGACAUCAUUAAGGUCUGAGGACACCACAACCUGCAUGGUGCUGCCCUCAGCAUAUCUUUUUAUCCUCGUUUUUCUAUUUCAUUGUGACUCUGGCAGUGGCAAUAUCUGUACAGCAUAUAGACUUUCAAAUGAUGAGAAAAUGCUUGUUGGAGGUGAGUGAGGUGUUUAUAUUGAAGAAAUUCUCAUUCCAUGUCAUUAUCUCUCAGUCUGUAAUAUCAAUUUCUAAACUACCUACUUUGGGACCUGAGCAAAAUGUGCAUUAUCACUUAAUUCUAUGAAAUAUUUUCAAAAACAGUUUAUGUAUCUGUGGGAAUGUGGAGUGUGGAGUAUAAUUAAAUUAUAAUUAUGUGGUAAUUUUCAUGGUAAAAGUUAUUAUAUAUUUGCAAUCUAAUUAUAGAGUAGUUUCAUGAUAAUUGAAAAGUUAUUAGUGGAACAUACAGCAAAGCAUAAUAGGAAAUCAUCAUUUUGACCAAUUUACCCAUUGUUAUUUGUCUAAAAAAUAUAGGGGUGGAAUUGCAUGCAUUGUACUUGUAGAAAGGUACUUUGCCAGAAGGGGUUUGUUGUUUAGAUUUGAAUAUUUAGUGUUUAAAUGGUUUCCUUCUGUCACCCCCCAAACUUCACAUUCAGUCCACAAACCAUGAAAAUACUUAUGGUGGACUGGCAGCUCUUCAGCAUAUCCUCAGGUGCUUUUUAAGAUAAGAUAUAGAUGGAAAGCAGAAAAGCGCCUGUAUACUGGGUGAUAAGGGUGAAAACACAGCGUCACAGUGAUUUAUUGUAUCUCUGAGAUAUAUAUGGAGAACUUUCUUUGUUCCUUUAAAAGAAAUAGAGCUUUGUACUUGAGGCUAGGCUUGGUACUCCUAAUUGGGAAAUGUCAGAAUGAGUUGCAAGUGUGAUGAGACCUCUGUAAGAUUACACAGAUGAAGUACAAUAAAACUUUUCCAAUACAAGGAUAAUUCCACAAUUUACUUACUGGGCUUUGCAUUGUGUUUCAAAGUGUUUUGAAUAACAAUGGUCUUCAUGGUCACAGGAUUGAUGACAGAAUUACUAUUUACUGGAGAAACAUUUCAGGUAAACUUCAGGCAGCAGCUCUUUUAUUUCUGCACUUGCUAAGUCUUUAGGAACUAAGUUGUACUGUUUAAACCCAUGCUGUUUUAGAGGGCGGGCAAAAGCCUGGCUCUUGAUGGUAUUACUGUUGGGAAAGAGGAAGGUAGUCCCAAAGAUGUUUAGAUGUAUGUGGUAAACUAUAAGGUGGGGAGAUUCAUUUGAACCAUUAUUUUUCACUUGCAAAUCAAGGUAAAGACCUGGUAGAGCUCUCUUUUUGUCCAGGAAAGGGGAAGAGGCUCUGGCUGAGACCAGGAUCGGGCCCAAGUGCUAUUGCUGGAUGUUGAAAAGCAGAACUCAGAGCAUCACCAAUGCCUUUGAACAGACCAAGCCAAGCCUCUGGUAGGAAUGACUGCUGCACCUCCAGUGCACCACUUGGGCUGCAAUUGAUCUUUCUCUUCCUCCCUCUGAUGAGGUGUCAAGAUGUUUCAAAAAAUGAUGCUGGUUGUGAACAUGGACUGCAGCAUGCUUUUGUCUCCCAAUCCCUGAUGACAAACCGAACCCAAGAGCUACACCAACUGCUUUGCACAGCCUGCUGUCACAAAGAAUAUCACCCUCAAGGGGAGGACUAAUGCUGCUGCUGCUUCUUCUGGCACUGUUAGACUUUGCACUGGUUUUGGGAAUCACACAGGAAGAGCUUCCAUGGCCCUUUAUCCCUGUCUCUAAUCCUGAAGAAAAACUGCAAGGUGCUUCUCAAACCAUAGUAGCUUCUGCAUUACUGUUAGGCAUGAAAAUAGGGGCAUCUAUCUACACAACACGAAAUAUUUCUUAAGGUGUAAAUAAAUUUGCUAAAAAAAACACACCAAGUCAAACAAAACAACCAACCAAACAAAAAAUCUGAAUGUUUUCUAUUCUUUUUACUGAAGUUUUAUCCAUGAAGAGGGGAAGACUGCAAAGAACUGACAAAUCACUUAUUUCAAAACUGGAAAUAAAUUUUUAAAGCACUCAGAAAAGUUGCACAUGGAGCUAUUUUAAAACUAACAACAGAGUGAUGACAUCUUGGAAUGAAUGACUACAGAAUUAGAGAGCAUAGGGUAAAUUAGUUUCAGAUGGAU